rnacentral:lncRNA from 10 species
GGGAAGCUCCUUCUGAUUCAUCAGGUCCUCACGAGGAGCUCGUUAGAUGAGAUGCUACCCAUUAGAUGGAGGAUCUGCAUUUUGGGUGGACAGUGGACAGAAUAAAUCUUCAGCCCGUUUUUCCCCUCACCACCUGAUCCACUCAGCCUCUUCUAAACCGGAAGCCCCGUGUGUUGCUUUGUGUGUGCAUCAGUCUCUCGAGAACCCCCUGUGAAUCAGGAGGCAUACGUUCCAGUGACUAUAGGGAGUCGAGGGGCUAAAGAGGAAGCUGAUGCUUACAACAAUGGAGAUUAGCAAUACCUGGACAGAGUUGAGCUUCAAAGGAUACUGAGAAAUAGCUAAAGCAGAUGAUAAAGAAAAAAUGAGGAAAUGCUGUGAAGAACUAAUAGAACGUUUCAGAAGCAGAACAAGUCGAGAGCAGUGAUGACCCUUUUGUUCCUGCUAGUACCUCCUGUCUGUCUGGCCGAACUCACCAUCAGAUGAUGUCUUGAACCUCACCUAGAUGGGCUGGUGGUGUGUGGCCAGGUUAAGAGCACCAACAGGAGUAAGAAAGUGACCUGCCUGGUUUUACCGUGUGUACUAGGGGAGGGGUUGAAAGCUUUCGGUUGAUACAUCACCUCUGGGAGUUGAAGAAGAAUGCAAUUAAGAGAGCUAAAGAAGUCAGUAUAGAAUCUGAAACUCAGAGGUCAACUGAUGUGUCAAAGAUACCUCCACAAAUCAGUACCUUGAUUAAAACUAAAAUUGGAGUCAUCUUCAUAUCUCCAUCUUUCUCCCUCUUCAUUAGGACCGAUUGUAGUCUGUUUCCCUCUCACUCACUUGCAAUCUUUAUUGCUUUAGUGUUGCAUUUGAUUUUUAUCUUUGUUUUUGUUUUAAAUACUGUCAUUAAAGUCAUAGAAAAAUCUAAAAUAAAACUGGUUGAAUAAAAAUUUUAAAAUCGACUCUAAUGUAAUAAACCAGACAAAAAUGAUACUUUAAAUGUUAUAUCUUCCCUUUAAACUACAAAUAUUCAUUGAGUGUAUACCCUGUAUUAGGCUGUUGGAAUAAAACAGGGAAGAAGACAGAAGAAACUGCACCGCCAUCUUAGAUCUUGCAGCCAAAUUCCUCUGAACUUUUCUCUAAAGACGUGCUCUGGAAAAAUGUUGAUCAUUUUCCUACAUCAUGGAGGUCUUUUCAUGACCACCUUUGUCUAGACAAUGUCCUGUUUUUAGGUGCACGUUUGAGGGCUGGAGUCUCUGACCCACAGUGCUGCAGCCUGCACGUGGUUUGUCCUGACUUCUUUGCUACUUCACUUUUCGUAAGGCUCUGAGAGUGCAGGCCCUUGUGGGUGGACACUGCAGGGUGAGAGGAAGAAGUAAACUACUUUUUUCCGUUUCUGAUGGGGGUGUGGGUCAGCAGCUAUAAGCAACAGGGACCAUGGGGGGCCUCAGACUUCAGCACCUGAGAGGCAGUUUCAGUCGUAUUGGGGAGAUGCAGGCAUCUGGGUUGCUGCACAUCACCAGGGCAGGGUUCUCUCAGCAGCCCUGGAGUGCAGAGUUCCCAUCAGCUCAGCAGUGAGGGGCACAUGGGGCUCCAGUGGUGAGGACUCUUGGUCCUUGGAUGACAACACUCCCCUGCCCACUUCUCCAGCCUUCCCUGUAACCCUUUGCCACCUCUAACCAAUCUUCUGUGUUACAUCUCUUCGGUUUGCAAUAUGUAGUGUUCGUAUAUGACUGGACAGUAUCUACUGGAGUUAAUAUCUAUCAGAGUAAUUAUAUCACAAUUGCAAUCUUCUCCUAAGAGUGAAUAGUGACAUUAAAAAUUUCAACAUUAUAAAUUAUGCAGAAAUAAAACUAAUUAUACAAAAAAUACACUCUGAAUGUCAGUUUUUCCCUGAGACAAUCUACCAUUUGAUAUACGGUGAUUCACACUUCUUAAUAUACAACAUUGAAUUACUUUUCCAAAAGCCUCUUCAAAUUUUGCUGCAGAAUUAAACUUCACUUGCACCAGCUCUGAAUUAUGUGUGCUUUUCCUUCUUGGUCAAUUUCAUAGGUGUAUCAUUAUUUGUCUUUUUUAAUUAAUAUGUUUAUAUAACUUUUCAUGUUUAUCCAUGUAACUACUGCUUUUGUGAAACGUGUGUUUUUAUCCUUUUCACAUUUUUUUCUAUUGAAAUGUUUUCUUUAUAAAUAUAAAUGUGUUUUUGGUAUGAAAAUAAUAACUGGCCAGAUGCGGUGGCUCACACCUGUAAUCCCAGCACUUUGAGAGGCCGAGGUGGGUGGAUCACCUGGCCUCAGGAGUUCGGGACCAGCCUGGCCAGCAUAGUGAAACCCCAUCUCUACUAAAACUACAAAAUUAGCUGGCGUGGUAGCACGUGCCCUGUAAUCCAAGCUACUUGGGAGGCUGAGACAGGAGACUCAGUCGAACCUAGGAGGCAGAAGUUGCAGCAAGCCAAGAUCACGCUAUUGCACUCCAGCCUGGGCAAAAAGAGCGAAACUCUGUCUCAAAAAGAAGAAAAAAAAUAGUAACUCUUUGUGAAUAGUAUCAACUAAAAUAUUUAUAUUUCAGUUUUCAUUCUGAUAUUUUGUUUCAUCAGAAUUUUUUAAAGUAUUUUGUUUAAUAUAUUAACUUUAAUAAUUUCAUUAACUGUCUCGUGCUUACAAAGUCUUUAUGCAUUUGGGGAUUAUGUAAAGCAUCUACCUUUACACUUUUAAUGAGUUUCAGAGGUUUUUUGGUACCUUUGAGUUAUAAUACAAAAAUAAUUUAUUUGGGUGUGAUAUGCAGUGAAUUGCUAACAUUAUUGCUUUUAAUUAAAGAUUAAAUUCCAAUGUUGAAUGAUAUUUUCUUUAAUUUCAAAAAUAAUUAGUAACUGUUCCAGGCACUAUCUAGGUUUAUGAUGUUUGAAACAAAGAUUCUUCCCACACAGCAUUUAUAUACUAGUGGUAAAUACAGGCAAUAAACUAAUAAAUAUGUAAUGAAAUAUCAAGUAUUAAUAAUCACAGUGAAUAAAAAAUAAAGGCAGAGAGAUG